CCAGGUGGAUGCAAGCAGCAUCCAUGGGUGGGGGAAAGGUUGGACUCCUGCUGACCCCUCCUUGCUGUGUGCCCUCUCAGGUGGCGCUGCUGGAUACUGCUUCCUGCCCUGAGGAGGAAGAGUUCCCGGAGGCCCUAUGCCCCAGGGAGGAGGAAGAGGAGGAGGAAGAAUACAGGCAAAGGAGAUCUGUCACCUUCACACUGGGAAAUGAGAUACUGGGGCUGGGCCCAGAAAGUGAGUUUCAGAGCCCUGACGCCGAGGUCUACAUGCACUUCUUAAGGAGCCACUGCUGCUAUGAUGCCAUCCCCACCAGCUGCAAGCUUGUCGUCUUCGACAUCUCCCUGGAGAUCAAGAAAGCCUUUGUGGCACUGGUGGCCAAUGGGGUGCGCGCUGCCCCACUCUGGGAUAGCAAGACACAGAGCUUUGUGGGGAUGCUCACCAUCACCGACUUCAUCAACAUCCUGCACCGUUACUACCGUUCACCCCUGGUUCAAAUCUACGAAGUGGAGGAGCACAAGAUUGAGACGUGGAGAGAGGUGUACCUGCAGGGCUCCUUCAAGCCAUUGGUCUACAUCUCCCCAAGCAAUAGCCUCUUUGAUGCUGUCUACUCCCUGAUCAAGCAUAAAAUCCACCGCCUGCCUGUCAUCGAGCCUGUCUCGGGCAAUGUCCUGCACAUCCUGACGCACAAGCGCAUCCUCAAGUUUCUCCACAUCUUUGGCUCUACCAUUCCCAAGCCACGCUUCCUGAAAAAAACAGUGCAGGAGCUGCGCAUUGGCACCUUCCGUGACCUGGCUGUCGUGCCUGAGACUGCCCCGAUCUACACUGCCUUGGAUAUCUUCGUGGAUCGCCGUGUCUCUGCCUUGCCCGUCAUCAAUGAUGCCGGGCAAGUGGUUGGCUUGUACUCCCGGUUUGAUGUCAUUCACCUGGCAGCUCAGAAGACCUACAACAACCUGGACAUCAGUGUGCGAGAGGCACUGCGGCAGCGCAGUAUCUGCCUGGAGGGGGUCAUCACCUGCUACCCCCAUGAGCACAUGGAGGACAUCAUUGACCGCUUUGCCAAGGAGCAGGUCCAUCGCCUGGUUCUGGUAGAUGAGAACCAGUACCCGCGGGGCAUUGUCUCCCUCUCUGACGUCCUCCAGGCCCUUGUGCUCACUCCCGCAGGUAUCGAUGCUCUUAACUCUUAGCCCACGGCGCUCCAUCUUUCUCCACUUGCACUCUCCAUUUCUCUCCACUUCAGAAUCACAGGGGAUCCCUGGUGUCCGUGAGGAAGGAUGAGGACAUUUGCCAUGAAGACAGCCCCCCUAAACCCCCAUUCAAGCAGUGGAAGGCAGGUUUUGCAGGUCUCUGGGCUUUGGGCUGGAUGAGGGUUUUGGGGUGUGAUGCACCCUAAGAUAAAAAUCUAUUUUUAAUCUCACCUCAAACCCUGCGAUCUGAGCACCUCCAGUGCCAUUCCUGGGGGACACAGAAGGGACAGAUCUCCACUUGCACCCUCAUGACGUGCUGCUAUUGACUAGCCGUGUGCGCACCACAGCUGACCCAUGGGCCCUGGCUGGCAGAGGCCCCCAACCCCUCCACCUGCAGCAGCCCCAAAACUGCCUGCUCCAGGGACAGGGUUCACUCUCAGGUGGCACUGGGACCAUGCUGCCCAACUGCCUGCAGCUGGCUCUGCUCACCCACUGCCUGGCGAGUCCUCACUGGUGAUAGGCGGGCACUGUGCUUGCACCCACUGUGGCAGCUCUUUAGGGCUGGAAUGGGGAGGGGAGAGCUGGCCCUGGGUCUCAGUUGCUUUCCAAGGGUAACGAUGCUUUUUUUGGGGUAGUGGUGGAGAAUGGGCUUGGGACAGGCCUGUGUCCACCAGUUCCCCCAGCAGUGCCCAGCUGCUCUGGACAGGAGGGGACUGGGAGUGGUGUGUGUUAGUCACACACACAACCCUCCUCCCCCCAUUUCCCAAUCAAGGUGCUUUCACUUACCCCAUCCCUGGUGACCACAGGGAUGGCUGGAUCAGGAGCUGCAGGGGGCCCUCUCCAGGCCAGCUGCCCUCCCUCCUGUCCCAGAGAUUGCAUUCAAGCCAGGAAUGGAGGCGAGACCCCGGUGUCCACCAGGAUAGGUUGGGAGGGCAAUGCCACAGGGUGCCCAGUCCAGCACUGUUUUGGGGUUAUGGCCUCGCAUGCUCUC